AGUUUACAAGUCAUUGAGAAUGCCUCAAGAUGCUAUUUUGUGCUAUCAGCAUGCUAUACAGGCACGCCCAACUUACGCGAUGGCAUAUGUGGAAAAUUUAUAGACUGUUUCUUGGAGACCAGACAGGAUAAGUAGAUUGGUUUCUUAUGUAUUUUUGGCAGGGGCAUCAUAAACAAAUCUCAGUUGCUUGUUAUGAAGGACAAAGUAAAAGCCCUCUCCUAU